GACGGAGGGAGCUAGCGUUGUUCGGAAUGACUGGGCGUAAAGGGCGCGUAGGCGGUUUUUUAAGUGAGGCGUGAAAGCCCUGGGCUUAACCCAGGAGGUGCGUUUCAUACUGGAAGACUUGAGUGCGAGAGAGGAAAGUGGAAUUCCUAGUGUAGAGGUGAAAUUCGUAGAUAUUAGGAAGAACACCUGUGGCGAAGGCGGCUUUCUGGCUCGCAACUGACGCUGAGGCGCGAAAGCGUGGGGAGCAAACAGG
rnacentral:rRNA from 1 species